GUCAGGAUGGCCGAGUGGUCUAAGGCGCCAGACUCAAGGUUUCGAUGCCUUCCGUGAGCGAUGGGUGUUCUGGUCUCCAAAUGGAGGCGUGGGUUCGAAUCCCACUUCUGACA
rfam:Lepisosteus oculatus linkage group LG17, whole genome shotgun sequence.